rnacentral:rRNA from 1 species
CCUGAUCCAGCCAUACCGCGUGGGUGAAGAAGGCCUUCGGGUUGUAAAGCCCUUUUGUUGGGAAAGAAAUCCAGCUGGCUAAUACCCGGUUGGGAUGACGGUACCCAAAGAAUAAGCACCGGCUAACUUCGUGCCAGCAGCCGCGGUAAUACGAAGGGUGCAAGCGUUAAUCGGAAUUACUGGGCGUAAAGCGUGCGUAGGUGGUCGUUUAAGUCCGUUGUGAAAGCCCUGGGCUCAACCUGGGAACUGCAGUGGAUACUGGACGACUAGAGUGUGGUAGAGGGUAGCGGAAUUCCUGGUGUAGCAGUGAAAUGCGUAGAGAUCAGGAGGAACAUCCAUGGCGAAGGCAGCUACCUGGACCAACACUGACACUGAGGCACGAAAGCGUGGGGAGCAAACAGGAUUAGAUACCCUGGUAGUCCACGCCCUAAACGAUGCGAACUGGAUGUUGGGUGCAAUUUGGCACGCAGUAUCGAAGCUAACGCGUUAAGUCGCCGCCUGGGGA